rnacentral:rRNA from 1 species
UACGAACGGUCCAAACGUUGUCCGGAAUCACUGGGCGUAAAGGGCGCGUAGGCGGCGCGGGCAGUCAACGGUGAAAGCUCGGGGCUCAACUCCGAGUCGGCCGUCGAUACUCCCGUGCUUGAGCACUGUAGAGGCAGGUGGAAUUCCGGGUGUAGCGGUGGAAUGCGUAGAGAUCCGGAAGAACACCGGUGGCGAAGGCGGCCUGCUGGGCAGUAGCUGACGCUGAGGCGCGACAGCGUGGGGAGCAAACAGG